UGGGAGUCCACCGGCAAUGCUGAUAGAUGG
rnacentral:piRNA from 1 species